UACAGAGGGUGCGAGCGUUAAUCGGAAUUACUGGGCGUAAAGUGUGCGCAGGCGGCCAUGCAAGUCGAGUGUGAAAGCCCCGGGCUUAACUUGGGAAUUGCGCUCGAAACUACGUGGCUGGAGUGUGGCAGAGGAAGGUGGAAUUCCACGUGUAGCGGUGAAAUGCGUAGAGAUGUGGAGGAACACCAAUGGCGAAGGCAGCCUUCUGGGCCAACACUGACGCUCAUGCACGAAAGCGUGGGGAGCAAACAGG
rnacentral:rRNA from 1 species